rnacentral:lncRNA from 1 species
UUUGAGCAUCUCCCGCUUGACAUGUCUGGGCUUGCUCAAAGUCACUUCUCCUCUACUGUCAUCAUAGUUAAACAGUUUGUGUUCUACUAACUUCUAAAGCACUUCUUGAAGAGAAACUAAAUAUUGACAUUUUAUCUUUACAAUGAUUAGCAGCAUGUCUUCCACUGAUCUAAGACAGAAACAGUCCUUUUGUGUUAAGUAAACACUAUGAAAUACUCAUAUGUUUGUAACUACUGCUAAUGUAGUUUUUGAUAUGUAACAGAAAAAACCUGCUCGAAGACGGUAUGAAUCAUACGGAAUGCACUCAGAUGACGAUGCCAACAGCGAUGCUUCUAGUGCGUGUUCAGAACGCUCCUAUAGCUCUCGAAAUGGUAGUAUUCCUACCUACAUGAGACAGACAGAAGACGUGGCAGAAGUCCUCAACAGAUGUGCUAGUUCCAAUUGGUCAGAGAGGAAAGAAGGCCUCUUGGGUCUACAGAACUUGUUAAAAAACCAGAGAACACUAAGUCGAGUUGAACUGAAAAGAUUGUGUGAAAUUUUCACAAGAAUGUUUGCAGAUCCUCAUGGCAAGGUAUGUUUUAGUAUUCAAGAUGAUUUAUUCCUAUACGGUAUAAAAAAGAAGAAGUAUAGUAGUAAAUAACUAUAAGCCGUUAGUAGUGAUGUUUUCCAACAUAAUUUCAGUUGUUUCAUGUCAUGCAUUAUUUAGAAAUUCUUUUUAUUCACUCAUUCCGGCUUCUUUAAAGGAAGACUGAGGGGUGCAGUUAGAAUCUUGACUCUCAGGAUGUAGACCAAGAAUGCUGUGCAGGCUGGAUGGUCGUCAGUAGAAUCUGAAGUUUUACCACUAGAAGCAGAAGUUUUAAAUGUCAGCCGUGGGGCCUGUCAGUAGUGGCACAUGCCUUUAAUCCCAGCACUCCAGAGGUAGUGGCAGGCAGAUCUCUGAGUUUGAGGCCAGCCUAGUUUACAGAGUAAGUUCAGGACAGCCAGGAUUACACAGAGAAACCCUGUCUCAAAAAAACAAAACUCAUUAAAUAAGUAAAUGAAUAGAAUAGAGUAGAGAGUAGAAUAGAGUAGAGUAGAGUAGAACAGAACAGAACAGAACAGAACAGAACAGAACAGAACAGAACAGAACAGAACGAAAUGAAACGAAACGAAACGAAACGAAAUGAAAUGUCAGCUGUGGGGCUGAAGCGGCAGCUUGGUGGGUAAAAGCGCUGGCUGCUCUUAUAAGGGACUGGAAGAGCAGCCAGUGCUUUGGUGGUGGUGGUAGUAGUGUUUUGCUGUUUGUUUCUUUCUUGAGACAGGAUCUCACUGUGUAGCCUUGGCUGGCCUCAAACUCAGAGAGAUUCACCCUUGCUCCACCUGUAGGGCUGGGAAGAUAGACAGCGCCAGAUUCAGCUUAUAGACAGUCAGUGCUCUUAAACUACUGAGCCAUCUCUCCAGGCCCAG